rnacentral:rRNA from 1 species
UGGCACAGCUGGGUAGCCAAGUUCGGCAGGGAUAAACGCUGAAGGCAUCUAAGCGUGAAACCCACCUCAAGAUGAGAUAUCCCACUAGCAAUAGGUAAGACCCCAUGUAGACUACAUGGUUGAUAGGUCAGGAGUGUAAGCAUAGUAAUGUGUUAAGCUGACUGAUACUAAUAGGUCGAGGGUUUGACCCAAAGAAA